rnacentral:sRNA from 1 species
AGAGUGAGAGAGAAUCGUAAAGUUUAAUGACGCCAUUUUCGAGUCGCGCAAAGUUGCCUUUUGAAAUAUGAAUAGACCCUCAGGUUGGGCAUAGACACAAGGAGCUCGCCAUCUAAUGCUAAGGAGAUUAGUUCAAUGGCAUCGUCAGCGACGUCGUACUCGACGUUGUCGGCUUUUUCGGUAGCUCCACCAAUAAAAUUGGUUUAUGCGAUCUGCCAGUACAAGAACAACAACAACAACAACAGCAACAACUUUUUGCCAGCCCACUUUUCAAUCGGGCUGUAAUUGACAUUGUUUUCGUAGCUCCUGUUGUCCAGGACAACAGCCGUCCUUAAGCCCGGCACGAACACACACAAAUUAAGCUCGUAAAAUUUAAUAUUUUUGCGCAAAACUUUGCCGAGGAGAUCUUGCUACAUCUUAAUUGUUGGCGCUUCCGUUCGAGAUGCUACAUUAAUUUCGAAGUAAAUCCCAUGGUCUCCAUUCACCAGAGAAGAAUAGCUGUAUCCAUAUAAAGCGAGCCAGGCCUUCAACAAAUUCUAAUUUAUUGCAAUUAUGUGACGCAUGUCACACUCACUGCUGACCAUUGACCAGGAGGCCGACACGUGACCAAUCUGCUUGCCCCGGGGCCACUGAUUGGAAAACACUAAACAGAUAGGCUAGUCGAGCGGGCGGCCAGACAGCAGCUGUCCGACCAUUCUAUAGAGAUUUAUUUUACGCUGAUAACACGCUUAAGUAAAUGCAGCGCACACACAGACACACACACGCCGUCGUCGUGGACGUCACCCAGCUCCCAGUUCGAGUUCGUACAAUUUAAAUGGCGAUUAAAUCUGUUGGCAUUGAUGGAUGUGUCCAAGGCGGCUGCGUGGCUAGCGGGCUGACUGGCUGCCGGGCUGCCAGGCUGCUGGGUUGGCAGCCUGUUCUGUGGUCAGUCUGCAGGAUGCGGCGCCGUGUUAACACUUUUGUACAAUUGCCAAUUUUUCGCCAGCGCCUGCUGAUGAGCUAUCCUCAACAGCCGAGCAGCCCGCCUGGCCUGACUGUGUGUGGGUGGUUGGUUGGUUUGCCUGGUUGCUGGCCAGCGGUGGCUUUUGUGGUGUUGUCCUCGGCUGAAAGCCUGUUCUUGCCGUGAGUGGGUGGACAUUGAGUUGGGCUGGCAUGCGGCUACACUUCAAUAUUCAUUUGAACGCAUAAUUGAUAUUGACGAACAAUGUUGCCGUGUCGCUACAAUGUUUCAAGUGCACUGGGAGAAUGCGCUAAGCCUGCAUUAAG